rnacentral:misc_RNA from 1 species
AAGUCGUAACAAGGUUUCCGUAGGUGAACCUGCGGAAGGAUCAUUACAAAUCUCGCGUUGGUCCGCUGGUCUGGUCUAGGCUGGCUGGCUAGUCUGGCUAGUCUGGCUAGUUUAGCUGGUCUGGCUAGUUUAGCUAGUCUAGGCUGGGCUGGUGCGACUGACACAUUGGCUCAAGGCCGCAAGGUCUUGAUGUUUACGCUUGCAUGUUUGACAGAGUUAAAUGGUGACCUUGAAAAUGACAACUUUUAACAACGGAUCUCUUGGCUCUU